GGUUAAUUGAUGGGGUUAGCAUUAGCGAAGCUCUUGAUCGAAGCCCGAGUAAACGGCGGCCGUAACUAUAACGGUCCUAAGGUAGCGAAAUUCCUUGUCGGUUAAAUACCGACCUGCAUGAAUGGCGUAACGAGAUGGGAGCUGUCUCAAAGAGGGAUCCAGUGAAAUUGUAGUGGAGGUGAAAAUUCCUCCUACCCGCGGCAAGACGGCAAGACCCCGUGGACCUUUACUACAGCUUGACACUGCUACUUGGAUAAGAAUGUGCAGGAUAGGUGGGAGGCUUUGAGUAUAUGACGCCAGUUGUAUAUGAGCCAUUGUUGAGAUACCACUCUUUCUUAUUUGGGUAGCUAACCAGCUUGAGUUAUCCUCAAGUGGGACAAUGUCUGGUGGGUAG
rnacentral:rRNA from 1 species